UGUGGUUGGGAGGGAGCUGCCUGAUCCUGACCAGUGACCUGCACGGUGGCCACGACAGGAUGACUUUGCACUGAUCUAAAUUGAGGACUAAGCUGAUCUUAAGCUGCGCCAAAAUGAAAUUCCACUCAUCACCAUCUUACGGGACUGGUAGAAGAAGUUCCAGACACUCAUAACUUGAACCUCUAAAGUUAUCUCCAAGGACAGAUGCUGCUCAGAUUCUGAGCGGUGCAGGUGUAUGUUCCCUGGUCCACGUUCCUCACCUCAUCCACCAGGAGAACAGACUGAGACUGCUGUCGAGCUGCUCCUCCUCCGACUGGACCGAUGCUCUCCUGUGUGUACAGAGGCCUCCCAAUCUGCAACCAGCACAGGUGAACUCCACAGCCACAUCCUGUUCUCCCAACACGAUGCAGCUGACACGCAGGUUUUCCCCGAUAGCCACUGAACUCGAUGAGGCCUGGAUCACUGGGGCAGGAGGAGCCAUUGGGUCUGAUAGCAAAGGUGAAACAUCAGUGAGUUACGUUAGUGAUAAGUCACACCAAACAAAAAGUCAAAAGUAACAUAACACAGCAUAAUGAAACUGUCUGAAGUGUAGGUGAUAUAUUGACCUGGAAGAGUCUGUUGAACUGGAAGUCAUGAAAGAAAUUAUUGCUUGUUCAAGUGUAAAACCUCAAAGUCUAACAGUUGGCUGAAGUGUAAAUACUGAAAGCAGUUGGAGUAAACUGUAUAUGAACAGUGGAAGUGGUGGGAGUUAGA